rnacentral:lncRNA from 1 species
CUUCAGUCUGUUGCGAGCACUGUCUCUUUCCAUUUUCACUUUCACAUUUUGCCUCAGAUUAGUAUCAUUGGAGUGGCUGCUGUUAAAACUUGUGCUUUGAAUGAAGAGAUCCUCCAAACAGGCUUUGUGUGAGCAACAUGGCUGUUUUUCACCUGGGUGCAGGAAGAGCCCCCACAAAGUUAAAAGUUUCAGUCUUCUGGAUCUACCUUGCAGACACUGCAGGAGCCAGAAGGAUGACCGAGUCAGA